GAGUGGACUAGGUCGGGCGGUUAGGCCCCGCUCCGAGCCCACAUGUGGCCUCAAGUGGGGACCAAACGCCGGGGGCGUCCGCACAGACGGGUGUGGGCCCCGCAAGCUAACGUCGAAGCCUCGUCCCACGGGGAUAGAGGUCCAGUCGACCUCGCCUGCAGGGGCGCGAUCGGCUGGUUAACCGGGGAGAGCCCACCAGGCGCGGAAGCGAGCAGUGGAGCCCUGGACAUCUAUCGCUCGUGGGGCCGCGGGGUGGAGGAGGCGAGCGGGACUACCCGCACCCGAACGUCGGGCAACUCUGGCCUGUCCGUUU
rnacentral:SRP_RNA from 1 species